CAUUGCCAUGGAAAGGGGUGGUAACUCCCAGGUAUUGCCGUGUCAAUGGUAAACUGACCUGGCACACUGGUGGGUGUGUCUUAGGGAAAGCUGCUUCCCUCCCAGCUCUGUUUUAGUUAGUCCUGAACUUGGUCCGGUGUCCAAGCCCCACCUCCAGAGUCAAGUCCUGCCUCCUAUCUCAAGAUAAUCAGAAGGAGCGGAAGUCUGAAAACAACCAAUCAUCCUGGAAGAAGACCCUGAGCUUUAGAUAAGACUACAGCUCCAGCUGACACCUUGAUUUCAGCCCCAUGAGACCCUGAGCAGAGAAUCCGGUUGAGCCGUGCUUGGAUUUUGACCUAUAGAGCUGUGAGAUAAUACAUUUGUGUUGCUUUAGUUGAUGCACUUCUGUCAAUUUGUUACACAGCAAUGAGAACUGAAUAAGGGAGAAACAAAUGCUGGGUAGACAGAAGCGACGGAUGUGCAUGAGGAGCUGAGACAGACAGCUGCCUGGAAUUGAGCCUUACUUAACCUGGAAGCAUCCUGUUGUACCUUGUCAUCUGGCUCUGUGGACAGGCCUUUCUGGUCUUCACACUGAUGCAGGUUUGUUAGUUUUUUUCCUCCUUGUUAAUGUAUAGUCAGGAAUUUAACAUCCUUGACUGUCCUCAUCAUCGGACACCCUCACUAGUCUUGUCAAGUCUUAGCUAUACAAAUGAAAGCAUGGAAGCUUGGAGGUGAUAUGUCAUGAUGCUGAAUCCUAGGACUGAGCCCCGUGAAUAUGCUGUUAAGGUUCUUCAAUCCCCACUUGCCUUCUGGGCCUGCCGCUCUUGCAACAUCCUUGUGUCAUGCUCAAAGACCUUUGCAGUGCCCAGUUCUGUGUUUCCUAACAGCGUCUUUGUUUUGGGUGCAUUCUUUGAUAUUGGAUGCUUGAAAUGGACUAAUCAGGUCCUGGC
rnacentral:lncRNA from 10 species